rnacentral:rRNA from 1 species
CACCGCCCGUCACACCAUGGAAGCCAGCUAGUACCGGAAGUCGGUGCGCCAACCCGCAAGGGAGGUAGCCGCCUAUGGUAUGACUGGUGACUGGGGUG